CCUACGGGUGGCAGCAGUGAGGAAUAUUGGUCAAUGGGCGGGAGCCUGAACCAGCCAAGCCGCGUGAGGGAAGAAGGUACAUCGUAUCGUAAACCUCUUUUGUCAGGGAACAAAGGCGGGGACUAGUCCCCUGAUGAGGGUACCUGAAGAAAAAGCAUCGGCUAACUCCGUGCCAGCAGCCGCGGUAAUACGGAGGAUGCGAGCGUUCUCGGGAUUUAUUGGGUUUAAAGGGUGCGCAGGCGGCCUGUUAAGUCAGCGGUAAAAGCCCGGGGCUCAACCCCGGCGAGCCGUUGAAACUGGCGGUCUGGAGUUGGAGAGAAGUACGAGGAAUGCGUGGUGUAGCGGUGAAAUGCUUAGAUAUCGCGCAGAACCCCGAUUGCGAAGGCAGCGUUCCGGCUCCACACUGACGCUGAGGCACGAAAGCGUGGGUAUCGAACAGGAUUAGAUACCCUGGUAGUC
rnacentral:rRNA from 1 species